rnacentral:rRNA from 1 species
CCCUUUGGGUGUGACUGCGUACCUUUUGUAUAAUGGGUCAGCGACUUAUAUUCUGUAGCAAGGUUAACCGAAUAGGGGAGCCGGAGGGAAACCGAGUCUUAACCGGGCGUUAAGUUGCAGGGUAUAGACCCGAAACCCGGUGAUCUAGCCAUGGGCAGGUUGAAGGUUGGGUAACACUAACUGGAGGACCGAACCGACUAAUGUUGAAAAAUUAGCGGAUGACCUGUGGCUGGGGGUGAAAGGCCAAUCAAACCGGGAGAUAGCUGGUUCUCCCCGAAAGCUAUUUAGGUAGCGCCUCGUGAAUUCAUCUCCGGGGGUAGAGCACUGUUUCGGCUAGGGGGCCAUCCCGGCUUACCAACCCGAUGCAAACUGCGAAUACCGGAGAAUGUUAUCACGGGAGACACACGGCGGGUGCUAACGUCCGUCGUGAAGAGGGAAACAACCCAGACCGCCAGCUAAGGUCCCAAAGUCAUGGUUAAGUGGGAAACGAUGUGGGAAGGCCCAGACAGCCAGGAUGUUGGCUUAGAAGCAGCCAUCAUUUAAAGAAAGCGUAAUAGCUCACUGGUCGAGUCGGCCUGCGCG